UUUCCGUAGGUGAACCUGCGGAAGGAUCAUUACUGAGUAAUGGUCCUCUGGGUCCAACCUCCCACCCGUGUUUAUUGUACCUUGUUUCUUCGGUGAGCCCGCCUCACGGCCGUCGAAGGGCAUAUGCCCCCAGUCACGCGCUCGCAAAAAACACCAUUGAACUCUGUCUGAAGUUUGCAUUCUGAACGAAAACUAAAUAAGUUAAAACUUUCAACAACGGAUCUCUUGGUUCCG
rnacentral:misc_RNA from 1 species